CAGCCGCCGCGGUAAUACGUAGGUGGCAAGCGUUGUCCGGAAUUAUUGGGCGUAAAGGGCUCGCAGGCGGUUUCUUAAGUCUGAUGUGAAAGCCCCCGGCUCAACCGGGGAGGGUCAUUGGAAACUGGGAAACUUGAGUGCAGAAGAGGAGAGUGGAGUUCCACGUGUAGCGGUGAAAUGCGUAGAGAUGUGGAGGAACACCAGUGGCGAAGGCGACUCUCUGGUCUGUAACUGACGCUGAGGAGCGAAAGCGUGGGGAGCGAACAGGAUUAGAUACCCCCGUAGUCCCUGUCUCUUAUAC
rnacentral:rRNA from 1 species